CAUGUAACUCAGUGGAAGAGUGUCAGACUCCGACUCUGGAAGUCGAAGGUUCAAAUCCUUCCAUGCU
rnacentral:tRNA from 1 species